rnacentral:rRNA from 1 species
GAUGAACGCUAGCUACAGGCUUAACACAUGCAAGUCGAGGGGCAUCAGGAAGAAAGCUUGCUUUCUUUGCUGGCGACCGGCGCACGGGUGAGUAACACGUAUCCAACCUACCGGUUAUUCUGGGAUAGCCUUUCGAAAGAAAGAUUAAUACCGGAUAGUAUAACGAGAAGGCAUCUUUUUGUUAUUAAAGAAUUUCGAUAACCGAUGGGGAUGCGUUCCAUUAGUUUGUUGGCGGGGUAACGGCCCACCAAGACAUCGAUGGAUAGGGGUUCUGAGAGGAAGGUCCCCCACAUUGGAACUGAGACACGGUCCAA